UACGAAGGGAGCUAGCGUUGUUCGGAAUCACUGGGCGUAAAGCGCACGUAUGCGGAUGUGUCAGUCAGGGGUGAAAUCCCGGAGCUCAACUUCGGAACUGCCUUUGAUACAGCACGUCUUGAGUCCGAUAGAGGUGGGUGGAAUUCCUAGUGUAGAGGUGAAAUUCGUAGAUAUUAGGAAGAACACCGGUGGCGAAGGCGGCCCACUGGAUCGGUACUGACGCUGAGGUGCGAAAGCGUGGGGAGCAAACAGG
rnacentral:rRNA from 1 species